UUAAGGCUUAGUUGUUGCUGUUGUUGUUGUACAAUAGGAAAGAAGAUAUUAGCAGCAGGUUACCCCAGCUAUGGUGGUCCAAAAAGGUUUAACAAGAUUUUGACAAUGCCAACCAGAUUUCCAAGUGAAUGGGUAGCAGAAAUAGUUUAAGUUGGAAGAUGGUGGUUUUGAUUUGAAGGGGAAUGAGAUGAAAAAGAUGCAUGAAAUUCUGGUAUCUUUUCAUUCCAAUGUGAAUCGAACAAGUGGUAACUCCAAAUGGGCUUUUCAGUGACCAGUGAUUAGUAAUAUUGAUGGUUCCAGUGAAGAUGUUUUUCUAAGACAAAUUCUUCCGUAAACCUAGUCUACCACACCAUCUGUUGACUAAGCCAACAAAAUCAUAACAUAUGAUUUAAUUUUUAAUUAUCCCUCCAUGCUACAACAAUCAAGAAUAAACAAGUGAUUUAAUUUUUAAUUAUCCUUAAAUUGUGGAUGAUGUGAAAUCAUUCCAUUGGUUUAGUCAAUGGCAACAUGGUAGACCAAGUCUAAGUAGCGUUUCUCCUUUCUUUAACCUAUGUCACUAAGGGUAUAAGUGAUAAUGUGACAGACAGCACACUAGCCAAAAACCCAACCGAUAUAUAUGUUCUCAUAACCAAGAACCUAAUAUAACUAAAAAUAUUACAACCUCACAUAUACCUGAAAAUAUUACAACCUAAUAUGUAAGUAAAAUAAAAUUAAGUAAAUUGCUAAACAACAAUAGAAGAAAAAGAAUUACUUACCAAGUUUCCUAUUACUAGAAUGGAUAAAAAGAAACACAACAUUUGCAAAUAGGUCCCCUCAAAGAUAGGCUCGAGUCAAAAUAAGGAUUUACACUAUGCCUACAGGGAAGAGUAUCUACUACAUCAACAAUUAACCUAGGACAUAAACAAUUGCAAAUUGAGUUCAAUAGAUAGAUUUAACUAUAUCUAGUUCAGCACUGGAAAAUAAUUAGGCAAAUGAGAUUAGAGAUGAAUGACUGACUUUUAAGGAAGAGACCAAUCUGUGUACACAUUUCAUUGAGGAUAUUGAGACACUAACUCACCAAAAUCGACAAUG
rnacentral:misc_RNA from 1 species